GGCCGGUUAGCCCAGUCUGUUGGAGCGUGGUGCUAAUAACGCCAAGGUCGCGGGUUCGAUACCCGUACUGGCAACA
rnacentral:tRNA from 1 species